AAUUAGUUAGCUAUGUAUAAGCGUUUAUUUUGAAAAUAAAAGAAAGAAUUUUCUACUAGUUU
rnacentral:tRNA from 1 species